GUGGAGUUUUCUUUUUCCUUUCAGCUGUGGUUUUGUGGUGCUUACCAACCCCCGUGAGAAAAGGGGGCUUCUCCAGAGCUUUACUCAGAACUACCUCCUUUCCCAACCAAACCCUAUUCAUAGUUCUUCCUAGUAGUAGCUUCCCUGACUGUCAAAGCACUACCAAGUCUCAUGUCUCUUUAGUAGACCCUUAAGACCAAUAGUAUAUGUUUCUUAACUUAAUCCUUUAUUCUCCAUGCUCUCCUUUGGAUCUUCCCUUCUAAGCCAGGUUUUAGACAGAUAAUGUUUUUGCCUAGUGGCGUGAAAGGGGAGCAAGGAUAAUGAGAGAGCAGAGCAAAAGUCUAAACACCAGUCUAAAACACCAGAGAAUGAGUUAAGGGAUGAGGGCAAAAGCUUUCUUAGAAAGGAUGUCAGAGCAUACCAUUUUGGGCUGGAUAAAAGUACUCAAGAACCUACAGUCAAGGUGAAAACCCAGAUUGACAGAACAGGUCUAUCUUCACCUUGGGAAAAGGAACUAGAGAAAUUAAGUCUAACAAAAAUGGCAUUAGAAAGCUAACUUUAUACAACCCAUUUGAAUGGUCCCCCUUCGGCUUAAUUGAUUGUAGAUUGAAUCUUAGUUUAAUCUGAAUUGUCCUUUCCAAGCAAGACAAAAUAAAACAGCUAUGUAUCUUUGUGUCUCUUGUACUUUUCUGCCUUAAUCAUCCCAAAGCAAGUUAUUUAGCUGUUCUUUCUAAUGCUUUCUAAAGAAAUUGUUAAAGACACCAAUCAGCAAAACUGGAAAUCCCCCAAUACACAAAAAUAUAAGUAAAAGUACCUUUUCUUUACAGAUUUACUUAGUUGUAUUUCUUCAAAAAAUAUAUGGUCUCUGUUAAGUAAGUAUCUGUAAAUAGAAUUUUUACUACUUAGCAGAAAUCAGCACUGGAUAGGAACAGCCAUGUUGAUGGUUUAAAACAAGUCAGAGAACUUAAGGAUUUUUCUCUGGCUUUUCCUUCUGUGCAUUAGUUUUAAAGCACAGAGUUCACCCGUCACCACACCACCACUAUCAUUCCUUGUAAACAAUUCUUCAUAUAGCUUUUAAAUAAACUAAGUUUUAUGGCAUGAAACUCUCCCGUGGUGACUGAUACCCCUAUAUUUCUAAUGGGUAUAUAGUCUAGGCGGAAUAAAUUGGAUUAAAUAAAUAAUAAUUGAACUUUCCCUCAUAUCCCCUUAUAACCUAAUGCAGGUGAGUUCUUGGUCUUUGAAGUUUUGGGAUUUCCAAACCAGAGCUGAUCAUAUGGCCACUGGUUUUGAAACUGUGGGAGCCUGUAGAAAAGAAAAUCUGUUGUUUAUCCAGUCUGUUUUUAAAAUUUGUCUUUAGUUAAUGGUGAUUAUAUUAUUUGAAGAUUUUCUUUCCCAUUAAUGCUUUUGAGCAGAGAGUCAUAUUACUUGAACUUUCAAGCCUCUUCUUUCCUAUGUGGAGGAAAUAAACUUUCAGAGAAAUCUAUCUUAUAAUGCUUGUUGUAGGUACAGAUCCCCUAGUUGACUCAGGUUUCUUGAUCCCGCAUGGACCUUAAUCUUCCGAUAGCCUCUUACUCUCACCAUCCCUUGCAAUCUCAGCAGUAUAUGCAAAGUGAUUAGUGGAAAUUGGGGUGUGAUCUUUGAUGAUCUCAAUACUAGACAAGAUUAAUUUAAAGCUUGUGUUAGAGUGGAGAGCUCCCAGCUAUUGUGAUCUUUACUAGAGUACUACCUUCUUCUGGCAGUGGUAUGAAAAAAAAAAAUGUAUUCACACUAAGCUUUUCUUUAAAAAAAGUAGACUUGAUGUUCUUAGGUUGAUGAGAAAGGACCCCCCGAACGUGGCAGGACCUGUGUAUAGAGUUUGCCUGGUCUUCAUGCUGUAACAAUUCUUCUAAUUGAUGCCAUUGUUGACUGAUGGAAAGUGGGUGGUUCCAUUUCCCUUCUGUGAGCCGUAGUGUUACCCUACAACUGUAACAGUAUCUGUGCUUUCAUUGGAAAGGUAAUUAUUCAGAUUUGUUUAAGCUUUAUAGCCUUGCCUCAAGUUUCAUAUCUUCUCAAAAACUCUGAUUUUUAUACCUCAGUAUCUUUUUCAUAUCGUAUGAUUAAAAAUUUUGCUCAUCUUGACCCCAUUUUAGUUUGUCCCUGUAAUAAUGAUCCAUAAAUUGUGCUCUUGCCAGGAGCAUUAAAACCCAUAUCACAGUGGUCCACACAAAAAUUGAAAUAAGUACUUUAAAAGAAAAUACUGUAUGGCCCAUGUAAUUUAUGAAUACGUAUGGAACAUCCUGAAAGAUAACACAUAAUUGUCACAGAAUUGGCUGACUGUAUCCAAGGAAGCUAAACUUGGGUGGACAGUGACUUCUAAACAGACUUGGGGCUGUAAAGUUAACAUCCAUCAUCACACUAAGUAUCUGAAGUCAAAGAAAGUGGGGGUGGGUACCUUUACAAGUGCUCUUUCUCCUUUAAUUGAAUUUCACACAUGCAUUUUAAAGAGCUUUUUUCCAUUAAACUUGGACACUGGUUGGUAUCCAGGAGGUCUUCCAGAAUUAUAUCUGACUCAUAAGUGUUUUAGUCCAUUCUGAAAGUUGAUUCCCAUAACUUUGCGUUGUGGACACCUAGUGUUUUUUCUGUUUAUAGUUUCACAGACUUACCAGAGCCUGGGCUCACCAAACCAGUCCUAAGAAUUAGAAUGAAUUUCAGUAUAUUUAGAGGUAAUUCUACAGGUUUGAAGUGUUUGCUUGUGUUUUAAUCACUUAACUAAAUUCUUUAGAAAUAUUGUGGCUUCUUUUGUGGUGCUCUUGCAAAAAUUCUUCUUUCCUGGGUGAAAAGAUAGGUGCCAUAAGAUUGUAUUAAAAACUGCAGUUGAGGAGUGCUUGGGUUGCUCAAUCAGUUAGGCAUCCAACUCUUGGUUUCGUCUCAGUUCAUGAUCUCAUGGGUUAUGAAAUCGAGCCUCAUAUGGGUCUCCCUGCUCAGCAGGGAGUCUGGGUGGAAUUCUCUCUCUCCCUCUCCCUUUGCCCCUCCCCGCUCGCUUUUGCUCUCGUUCUUUCUCUAAAUAAAUAAUAAAAUAAAAAAUAAAAACAUCUUUUAAAAAAACUACAGCUUAAAAUAAGGGUGUAAUAAGAAUGAGUUAAGAAUCUAAGGAUUUGGGGGGCGCCUGGGUGGCUCAGUUGGUUAAGCGACUGCCUUCGGCUCAGGUCAUGAUCCUGGAGUCCCGGGAUCGAGUCCCGCAUCGGGCUCCCUGCUCGGCAGGGAGUCUGCUUCUCCCUCUGACCCUCCUCCCUCUCAUGUGCUCUCUCUCAUUCUGUCUCAAAUAAAUAAAUAAAAUCUUUAAAAAAAAAAAAAGAGGUAGGGCAUAAAAUGCAAAAAUCAAUAGCCUUCAUAUAGACAAACAAAAGGCUAGAGGACAUAAUGGUGGUUUUUUAAAAGUCCAUUUACAAUAGCAACAAAGAAAAAUACUUAGGGAUAAAAUUAACAGGAAAUGUACAAGAACCUAUUGGGGGAAACUAUUAACAGUCCUGAAAGACUUAAAAAGUAAACUUGAUUUUCAGAGUCCAUUGUCUCUCAUGGUUCUGAAAAACAAACUGGGGGUUCUAGAGGGGAGCGGGGUGGGAGGAUGGGUUAGCCUGGUGAUGGGUAUUAAAGAGGGCACAUUCUGCAUGGAGCACUGGGUGUUAUACGCAAACAAUGAAUCAUGGAACACUACAUCAAAAACUAAUGAUGUAAUGUAUGGUGAUUAACAUAACAAUAAAAAAGACAUGCACAUAAAAAAGUAAACUUGAACAUAACUGCUUAAUGGGUAUGGGUUUUAUUUUAGGAUGAUGGAAAUGUUUUGGAAUUAGGUAGAGGUGGUGAUUGCACAACAUUGUGAAUGUACUAAAUGUCACUGAAUUUUUCAUUUUAAAAUGGUUAAUUUAAAAAAACAAAAAAGGGGCGCCUGGGUGGCUCAGUCGUUAAGCGGCUGUCUUCAGCUUCAGGGUCCUGGGAUCGAGCCCCGCAUCAUCACACUAAGUAUCCGCGGGAAGCUGCUUCUCCCUCUCCCACUCCCCCUGCUUGUGUUCCCUCUCUCACUGUCUCUCUCUCUGUCAAAUAAAUAAAAUCUUUAAAAAAAAAAAUGUAUAAAAAAACAAAAAAAAGAAAUGGUUAAUUUUAUGUGAAUUUUACCUCAAUUGAAAAAUUAUCUUUCAGAGAUAUGUAUUAAAGUAUUUAUAGAAAAAUGGGGGGGAAAAGUAGACUUGAACAAAUGGAAAGACAUGUGCUGUCCUUGGAUGGAACAACUCAACAUUAUAGAGGAGUACAGAAGUUGAUUCUAAAUUUCACAGAAAAACAAACGUGAAAGAAUAGCUCCAAAAACACUGAAAAGGAAAACUUUGUGGAGGGACUAGUUCUACCAGACAUUAAAACAUUAUAUAAAGCCUCUAUAAUUAAAACAAACAGCAUGGCACUUGUGCAUGAAUACACAAAUAGAACUGUGGAAUAAAAUAGAAAUAGACACAAGUACCUACAGAAAUAUAGUAUAGAUAAAGGUGGCAUCUCAAAUCAUUGGGGUAAAGAUGGACUUCUUAAUAAAGGGUGCUGGGACAACUGGGUAGCUAUUUGGAAUUAGAUAAAUACCUCAUACCAUACAAAAAAGUAAACUCCAAAUGGAUUAGGAAUCUAAAUAUUUAAAAAAUGAAACAAUAUAAGUUAUAGAAGAAGAUAUGGAUGAAUUUUUCUUUAACCUUGGCAUAAGGAAAGGCUUUCUGACUAUGACACAAAAUUCAGAGGCAAUAAAAGAUUGAUACAUUUGACUGCAUAAAAUAAUGUUUUUCAUUUGCAUGACAAAAACCACCAUAUAGAAAGUCAAAAGACAGCUGAAAAACUGGGAGAAAUUUUUCACAACAUACACAGACAGAAGGAUAAUAUUCUUUGUAUGUAAAGAACUCUUAUAGAAUUGAAGGCUCUGAAAAAAAAAAUUGAGGGCUGUGUUUCCCUAUCUUUAUUUGGGAAAGAAGAAUGGGGUGGGGAUGCUGUCUAGGAGGAUGGGGUUAGGAUGGAGCAACCUAGACAACCUGUGGCUAGCAGGGAAAGACUUGGCCUGAAAAAUCAAGGUGUUACGAGAUGGCAGAUGGGGGGCGCCGGGGUGGCUCAGUUGGUUAAGCGACUGCCUUCGGCUCAGGUCAUGAUCCUGGAGUCCUGGGAUCGAGUCCCGCAUCAGGCUCCCUGCUCAGCGGGGAGUCUGUUUCUCCCUCUGACCCUCCCGCCUCUCGUGCUCUCUCUUUCUCAUGCUCUCUCUCAAAUAAAUAAAUAAAAUCUUUAAAAAAAAAAAAAAAGAUGGCAGAUGGGGUUGGCAAGGACCUGGCAUGCAGCUGUAUAGUACCUGGAGUCAGCAGCACCUACAGAUGGAUCCUGGAUGCCUCUCAAGGUUGCUCACUGGAUUUCUGGAAGGGGAAUGGCGAGCUGAGAGGUCUCAGGAGGCAGGAACCACUUCUCAAACUGGCCUCCCAGGACACAGGAGUGGAGAUGGUGGUUGGGGACAGCCCCCUGAGCCCCUGACCCUUGCUGCCAUGGAACCUCCUGCCCAUCUAGGCAGGCUCCUGGCCAACUGUAAGCUGGAGCAGUCCCACCAGCUCCCAACUUCCCCUGCCAGCGUGUCACAACACCACCACUCCCUGAAGCCAAGUGAGCCUGAAUGUGAAGUGCCCCUUUUUGGAGCAAGGAAACAGGAGGCCACUGAAGCAGGAAUUGACCUAGGAGCAGAAAUUGACCUAGAGGCAGCCAUGGGAAAAGCAGAGAUGGUGCAGUACCUGGGGCCUAAACUAGGCAGAGUCUCCAAUACCUGCAAUACCUUUGCAUAGUGCGGGAGCAGAUGGCAAGGCUCCAGCAGCUCUACUUGCAACUGCAGACCCAGAGGCCCCCAGGGGGUCGUGAAGCAGAGGGGGAAAAGGAGCCAGCCCUGGCCCUUUCACCUCCACUUUGUGCCCCAGGCAAUGAGGUGCACAGACUGCUCAGCCACACACAGGAGACCGCUUCACCCCUAAAGGUAGGGGUGCCUAGUGCCAACCCUCCCAGGCUGUUAGAGGCCCCAGCAGAGCCGCUUACAUCUUUCCAUCCUUCCAGGGACACAAGUGGGAUCUCUUCCACUGGAACAAGACCAGUCCUGCUCAACCGGAUCCUUUGGAGGAACCUGAGAUACCUUGAGUCCCCUGCCCCUCCUGAUGGCCCUGCCCCAAGGAUUGAGUCAAGGGGUGUCCCUAAAAGACCUCCAUGCCAGCCCCUCUGGAAGACCUUUAUGCCAUCAUUUGUGGUUAAGCAACAAGCAAAAACCUUUCUGUAUGCUGAGACUGGUACAGGGACAUGACGCUGGGUGGAGGGGUGUUCGGUGAAGUCUUCUUCCUCGCCCUUUUCCCUGUUGCUGCUUCAGGGCACUGCCAGGAAAAGCUGCUGGUGCUCACCCUUCUCUCUGAGGAGAGGGCUGGAUCUUUCUCCUCUGGGCAGCCUGGCAGAGGAGCCCUGGUUCCCUGAGAGGCCCCAAGGUAUGAAAUCCCUGGGCCUAGACAGUGUGAACUAGCUUAUUUAUCUGGAGUCCAUGGAGCGUGUUUGGCAUGGUGAUCUGUUGGGGCCUAGAAUAUCACAGAUGUGUAUUUAUUUAAAUGAUACAUGUAUCUUUGUGAGUCUGUCACUGUUGUGAACUGGCUGGAUCCAACCAUCUUUUCUGAAUCCUACACUCAGCAGGUUGGUCUUCUGGGGGAGGUAACUGGAAGGAUAGAACUGACCUUCAUUCCUCAGUGGGCAGUUACUAAUUUAGAGUCCUGCUUUCCUCAUACCAUCGUGGGCAGCCCCAGAACAGAGAAGGGUACUAUCUUGGGUGCCUCUGCAUGGAGUCUCUUGCCUGUGGAGCAGAGUCCCUGAAAACCAAACCUGGAAUGGAAGGGUCAGGGACAACAUGGAGAAUAGCAGAGUAAGCUUCAAGGUCGGUCUUCAGCUGCUUUGAUCUCUGAUAGCCUUUACACAUCAGAGCUGAAACCAGGGACUCAUUCUAGCUUUUAGAUCUUGACAAAAUCCCUUAACUUUUCUGAGCCAUAGCUUCCUGCUCAAUCUCCCAAAUGGUUUAAUGAUACCUGCCCUGCCUAAUUCACAGUGUUGUUAUGAAGAUAAAACAAGAUUAAACUGUUAAAAAAAAAAAAAAUGAGGAACAAAGGACCAAAAAACUCUAGUAGAAAAAUAGGAGAGACAUGGACAGACAAAUCACACACACCCCUUCAAAAAAAGCACUCGGACAUACAAAAAAAGUUUAAAGUGAUUAGAGAACUACAAAUUAAAACAACAUCAAGAUACCAUUUCUUAUCUAUCAGCCUGGCAAAUUUUUUAAAUUACAAUACCACAUUCUGUUGAUGAGACUGUGGAAAAAUACUCUUUUUUUUUUUUUAAA